UGGCUCAGGAUGAACGCUAGCUACAGGCUUAACACAUGCAAGUCGAGGGGCAGCAUUUCAGUUUGCUUGCAAACUGGAGAUGGCGACCGGCGCACGGGUGAGUAACACGUAUCCAACCUGCCGAUAACUCGGGGAUAGCCUUUCGAAAGAAAGAUUAAUACCCGAUGGUAUAAUCAGACCGCAUGGUCUUGUUAUUAAAGAAUUUCGGUUAUCGAUGGGGAUGCGUUCCAUUAGGCAGUUGGUGAGGUAACGGCUCACCAAACCUUCGAUGGAUAGGGGUUCUGAGAGGAAGGUCCCCCACAUUGGAACUGAGACACGGUCCAAACUCCUACGGGAGGCAGCAGUGAGGAAUAUUGGUCAAUGGGCGCAGGCCUGAACCAGCCAAGUAGCGUGAAGGAUGACUGCCCUAUGGGUUGUAAACUUCUUUUAUAUGGGAAUAAAGUUUUCCACGUGUGGAAUUUUGUAUGUACCAUAUGAAUAAGGAUCGGCUAACUCCGUGCCAGCAGCCGCGGUAAUACGGAGGAUCCGAGCGUUAUCCGGAUUUAUUGGGUUUAAAGGGAGCGUAGGUGGACAGUUAAGUCAGUUGUGAAAGUUUGCGGCUCAACCGUAAAAUUGCAGUUGAUACUGGCUGUCUUGAGUACAGUAGAGGUGGGCGGAAUUCGUGGUGUAGCGGUGAAAUGCUUAGAUAUCACGAAGAACUCCGAUUGCGAAGGCAGCUCACUAGACUGCAACUGACACUGAUGCUCGAAAGUGUGGGUAUCAAACAGGAUUAGAUACCCUGGUAGUCCACACAGUAAACGAUGAAUACUCGCUGUUUGCGAUAUACAGUAAGCGGCCAAGCGAAAGCAUUAAGUAUUCCACCUGGGGAGUACGCCGGCAACGGUGAAACUCAAAGGAAUUGACGGGGGCCCGCACAAGCGGAGGAACAUGUGGUUUAAUUCGAUGAUACGCGAGGAACCUUACCCGGGCUUAAAUUGCAACAGAAUAUAUUGGAAACAGUAUAGCCGUAAGGCUGUUGUGAAGGUGCUGCAUGGUUGUCGUCAGCUCGUGCCGUGAGGUGUCGGCUUAAGUGCCAUAACGAGCGCAACCCUUAUCUUUAGUUACUAACAGGUUAUGCUGAGGACUCUAGAGAGACUGCCGUCGUAAGAUGUGAGGAAGGUGGGGAUGACGUCAAAUCAGCACGGCCCUUACGUCCGGGGCUACACACGUGUUACAAUGGGGGGUACAGAAGGCGGCUACCUGGUGACAGGAUGCUAAUCCCAAAAACCUCUCUCAGUUCGGAUCGAAGUCUGCAACCCGACUUCGUGAAGCUGGAUUCGCUAGUAAUCGCGCAUCAGCCAUGGCGCGGUGAAUACGUUCCCGGGCCUUGUACACACCGCCCGU
rnacentral:rRNA from 1 species